rnacentral:misc_RNA from 1 species
GAUGAAGAACGUAGCGAAAUGCGAUAAGUAAUGUGAAUUGCAGAAUUCAGUGAAUCAUCGAAUCUUUGAACGCACAUUGCGCCCCCCAGUAUUCUGGCGGGCAUGCCUGUUCGAGCGUCAUUUCAACCAUCAAGCCCUGCUUGCGUUGGGGUCCUGCGGCUGCCCGCAGGCCCUGAAAACCAGUGGCGGGCUCGCUAGUCACACCGAGCGCAGUAAUACAUCUCGCUUUGGGCGUGCGGCGGGUUCUUGCCGUUAAACACCCCCUUUUUACCAAGGUUGACCUCGGAUCAGGUAGGAAUACCCGCUGAACUUAAGCAUAUCAAUAAGCGGAGGA